CCCCUCCGCGCCACCCCCUAUAGAGCCCCCUCCCCCACCUCGGUAACACCCCUAGAAAGCCCCCCGCGCCACACCCUAUAGAGUCCCCCUCCCCAACUUGGGUAGCAUCCCUUAUAGAACCCAGCCCAAACACACACAUCACACCCUGGAGAGACCCUCAAUCUGGUGUCUCACAAUUUAGGGCCCCACCUCAGUGCUGUCCUCUAUAGGCCCCAGAAAGUCAUGAGAUUUGUGUGACCCAUGAGUUUUGAAUGUUUGGAGCUGGCCGUACUGCUGAUGCAACAAUUUAUAUAUCCUCCUGUCUAGAGCUUUUCGAAAAAGGAGUGGAUCAUGCCAUAGAGCUGCCCAGAUCACUCCUGCAAUAACCAGCAGACCUCUCGUCUUCUUUCUCAUUUAAGGCCCAGAGUUAGGUAGGUUCAUGAGAUGCCUGCAUGAAGUGUGAAUGAAGGCCCUUCUUUAGCAUGUGCCUGCACAAAUAAAGACACAAUGAAUCAUCUGGCAGGAAGGUUGACUGUUAUCUGACAUGGAAACAUAUUUGUACUUUAUCAUUUUAAUGUAACGGAAGUAAUCAGCAGCAAGUGUGACCAAUGCUGCCCCUUUGUGUGAGAAUUCUAGGGUUAGCCUGUGUCAUGUACCCAUAUAACACCACUCCCUCAAGAUGAACUGAACAGUUGAUUCAAUUUGGACACAUGCUGCAAGGGCUGGAUCAAAGCGUAGGUACCACAGGCCUGUGCCUAAGGCUCCAUCUUCUUGCAUCAUGUGAUUACAUCACAGCCUCAGUGUUCACUUGAAUAAAAGUACAUUUCUAGUGCUCGUGGCUGCCAAGAGAAGCUUGAAAACGCUAGCCACAGGUACGGUGACAUCUGCCUGAGCCUACAGCCAGCCUGAACCGUAGCACCGAUUUGAGGGACCCAUGGAUCUCUCUGAGGUGUUAAUGCCA